rnacentral:rRNA from 1 species
UCAAGCGUGAGGUAAGGGCAUUUGGUGAAUGCCUUGGCAUGCACAGGCGAUGAAGGACGUGGCACGCUGCGAUAAGCUGUGGUGAGUUGUGAGCAAACUUUGACCCACAGAUUUCCGAAUGGGGAAACCCAAUCUCUCUGUCAAAUUUGAUCGCAGGUCUUCGGAUCUGCGAUGAAGUUUGGUGGUGAGAUUAUCCUAUGAUGAAUACAUAGUCAUAGAGAAGCAAACCCGGGGAACUGAAACAUCUCAGUACCUGGAGGAAAGGACAUCAACCGAGACUCCGUUAGUAGUGGCGAGCGAACGCGGACCAGGCCAGUGGCCAACAAUAAGUCAGCAGAACUGGAUGGAAAGCCAGGCCGUAGCGGGUGACAGCCCCGUAUGCGUCAGCGAAUUGUUGGUCCUUGAGUAAGGCGGGACACGUGAAAUCCUGUCUGAAUAUGGGGGGCCCACCCUCCAAGCCUAAGUACUCGUGCAUGACCGAUAGUGAACCAGUACCGUGAGGGAAAGGUGAAAAGCACCCCGAUUAGGGGAGUGAAACAGUACCUGAAACCGAAUGCCUACAAGCAGUUGGAGCUCCCUUGAGGAGUGACAGCGUACCUCUUGUAUAAUGGGUCAACGACUUAAUAUGUCAUGCAAGCUUAAGCCGUUAGGUGGAGGCGCAGCGAAAGCGAGUCUGAAUAGGGCGAAUAGAGUAUGACGUAUUAGACCCGAAACCCGGUGAUCUAGGCAUGACCAGAAUGAAGGUGCGGUAACACGCACUGGAGGUUCGAACCGGUUAACGUUGAAAAGUUAUCGGAUGAGUUGUGUUUAGGGGUGAAAGGCCAAUCAAACCGGGAAAUAGCUGGUUCUCCGCGAAAUCUAUUGAGGUAGAGCGUCGAAUGAUUGCCGUUGGGGGUAGAGCACUGGAUGGAUGCGGGGGUCGCGAGAUCUACCAAUUCUAACCAAACUCCGAAUACCAACGAGUCUAGUUCGGCAGACAGACGGCGGGUGCUAACGUCCGUCGUCAAGAGGGAAACAGCCCUAACCUACAGCUAAGGUCCCCAAGUCAUCACUAAGUGGGAAAGCAUGUGGAAUUUCCAAAACAACCAGGAGGUUGGCUUAGAAGCAGCCAUCCUUUAAAGAAAGCGUAACAGCUCACUGGUCUAGAUAAGGACUUCUGCGGCGAAGAUGUAACGGGGCUCAAGACACGUACCGAAGCUUUGGGUGUGCAUUUAUGCACGCGGUAGCGGAGCGUUCCGUAAGCCUGUGAAGCGGUCUGGUAAUGGGCCGUGGAGGUAUCGGAAGUGCGAAUGCUGACAUGAGUAGCGAUAAACAGUGUGAGAUGCACUGUCGCCGAAAGCCUAAGGGUUCCUACGCAAGGCUAAUCCGCGUAGGGUGAGCCGGUCCCUAACACGAGCCCGAAGGGGGUAGUGGAUGGAAAUACGGUUAAUAUUCCGUAGCCUGGAGAUGUGUGACGGAUUCCUUAUAUUGUCUGGUCUUAUUGGAUUGAUCAGGCUUUGACGGGGUCCCAGGAAAUAGCCUCUCCGUAUAGACCGUACCCGAAACCGACACAGGUAGGCUGGUAGAGUAUACCAAGGCGCUUGAGAGAAGGGUGUUGAAGGAACUCGGCAAAUUGCCUCCGUACCUUCGGAAGAAGGAGGCCCGAUAUAAGCGCAAGCUCUUAUCGGGGGCACAGGCCAGGGGGUAGCGACUGUUUAACAAAAACACAGGGCUCUGCUAAGUCGGCUUCAAGACGACGUAUAGGGUCUGACGCCUGCCCGGUGCCUGAAGGUUAAGUGGAGGGGUGCAAGCUCCGAAAUGAAGCCCAGGUAAACGGCGGCCGUAACUAUAACGGUCCUAAGGUAGCGAAAUUCCUUGUCGG